rnacentral:rRNA from 1 species
CGCAUCUGUGCAUGCAGCAUAUCAAUAAGCGGAGGAAAAGAAACUAACAAGGAUUCCCUUAGUAACGGCGAGUGAAGCGGGAAGAGCUCAAAUUUGAAAUCUUCAAGGUUUUACCUUGACGAAUUGUAGUUUAAAGAAGUGUUUUCUGUUGAAGUUUUGGUAAAAGUUCUUUGGAGUAGGACAUCAUAGAGGGUGAGAAUCCCGUAUUUGACCAUUAUUUUCAGCUGUGUGAUACACUUUCAAAGAGUCGGAUUGUUUGGGAAUGCAGUCCAAAAUGGGUGGUAAAUUUCAUCUAAAGCUAAAUAUUGGCGAGAGACCGAUAGCGAACAAGUACCGUAAGGGAAAGAUGAAAAGAACUUUGAAAAGAGAGUUAAACAGUACGUGAAAUUGUCAAAAGGGAAGCGUUUGACACCAGUGUUGUCUUCUCGAAAAUCAAUUAAAAAGAGUUGGAUUUUGUGUUGUAUUGACCUUAACAGCUUGCUUCACUCUUUUCCAGCUUUUUUUAAUGCACUUUUCGUUUAACAAGUCAACAUCAGUUUCUUUUGUUGUAAAAGGGUCAUUGGAAGGUGGCUUUCUCUUCGGAGAAAGUGUUUAUAGCCUUUGAUCUCUGCAAUCGGAGAGACUGAGGUCUGCAGCGUAGAUCCUUCGGGGUUAGAUACAUUCGUGCUAAGCUACAGCUUUUCAUAGACAACUUGUUGACUAUGUUUAGUCUUGUGACUUACCCGCUUAUGCUAUUUUACCUACGCUUAGGAUGUUGAUAUGCAUGACUGAUAU